CUCCAAUUGGGGUCACACGGUCACCACGCUGGCGAGCCGCUGGGCCUGCUCCGGGCGCGGGCGGCGGCCCGGCUCGACGACAAAUGGAGAGAGACUCGGGUGUCUGUGCCUCACCCUCCCUACCAGGAGACCAACUGUUUCUGUCGCCGCUGGUAUUGAUGAAGUUCUCUCCUCCGCCGCUUUCUGAUGACAUCAGAUCUCUGCCAUGUUGGUAUCCUAUGCGAAUGGCAGCAUUUCAUUCCCUUUGCCGGGUAACCAAAGCAACGGGUGAGUCCUGACCGGCCCUCAGCAGGUCCCAGACUGAGAAGCAGAUUCCGCGGGCUCCUUAGCCCUGGGCCAGAGCAGUUCCAGGAGCCGGAACUCGGCUGCUCCGUGCUCGGUGUAUGCUCUGAUAAGAGCAGGCUCCAAGAAGCAGUUUCCGUGGGCUCCUUAGCCCUGGGCCAGGGCAGUUCCGGGAGUGGGAACUCGGCCGCUCUGUGCUCGGUGUAUGCUCUGAUAAGAGCAGGCUCCAAGAAGCACUCAGGCACUGAGCCUGAGUAAUCUGUCUGCAAGCUGCAGGCGAAUGGCAGCCUGAAAUUACCUGUUCUAUGGCUGAAUGAGCUUCCUUCAGUCGAAAACAGGGUUGGUGAUGUCAGCUCUCCAAGAUGGUGGCCGCUGGCCUCCUCUGUGGUCUGACCGGUGUGCAGAACCGAAAUGGACCGCUUCCUUCCCCCGUCUCGAACCCAGAAUUCAGCACUGAUUACAGUGCUUGCACGGCUGGCAGAAACUGCAGCGCUGUAUCCCUGAGCCACUAUCUCCUCCUCGUUUCCCAGCGUGCGCUGCAGACUCUAGCCGCGGG
rnacentral:lncRNA from 1 species